CAAGAGGAAGCCGAAAAUCUUAAAGAGUAGGCA
rnacentral:ncRNA from 1 species